ACGGAAGGCAGCAGUGAGGAAUAUUGGUCAAUGGGCGGGAGCCUGAACCAGCCAAGUAGCGUGAAGGAUGACUGCCCUAUGGGUUGUAAACUUCUUUUGUAUGGGAAUAAAGUCACCUACGUGUAGGUGUUUGUAUGUACCGUACGAAUAAGCAUCGGCUAAUUCCGUGCCAGCAGCCGCGGUAAUACGGAAGAUGCGAGCGUUAUCCGGAUUUAUUGGGUUUAAAGGGAGCGUAGGCGGUCUGUUAAGUCAGCGGUUAAAUGUCAGUGCCCAACAUUGGCAUGCCGUUGAUACUGGCGGACUUGAAUACACACAAGGAAGGUGGAAUUCGUCGUGUAGCGGUGAAAUGCUUAGAUAUGACGAAGAACUCCGAUUGCGAAGGCAGCCUUCUGGGGUGCGAUUGACGCUGAGGCUCGAAAGCGCGGGUAUCAAACAGGAUUAGAUACCCUGGUA
rnacentral:rRNA from 1 species